UACGAAGGGCCCGAGCGUUGCGCGGAAUUACUGGGCGUAAAGCGCACGUAGGCGGAUUGUUAAGUGAGGGGUGAAGUCCCAGGGCUCAACCCUGGAACUGCCUCUCAUACUGGCAAUCUCGAGUUCGAGAGAGGUGAGUGGAAUUCCGAGUGUAGAGGUGAAAUUCGUAGAUAUUCGGAGGAACACCAGUGGCGAAGGCGGCUCACUGGCUCGAAACUGACGCUGAGGUGCGAAAGCGUGGGGAGCACACAGG
rnacentral:misc_RNA from 1 species